AAUGGGGCCACAAUAGGGGGUCAAAGUUUUACAUACAAAUAUAUAGGGAAAAUCUUUAAAAAUCUUCUUCUCAAGAACCACUGAGCCAGAAUAGCUGAGAUUUAUAUGAAAGCUUUCUUAUAUAAUGCAGAUUCUAAAUUGUUAAAAUCCUGGCCCCCGGGGGUCGGAUGGGGCCACAAUAGGGGGUCAAAGUUGUGUUUUUUUUGGGGGGGGGUUGUUUUUGUUUUUUGUUGUUUUUUUUAUAUAGUGCAGAUUCAAGUUCGUUAAAAUCAUGGACCCCGGGGAUUGAAUGGGGCCUCAAGGGGGCAUCAAAGUUUUACAUACAAAUUUAUAGGAAAAAUCUUUUAAAAUCUUCUUCUCAAGAACCACUGAGCCAGAAAAGCUGAGAUUUAUAUGAAAGCUUUCUGAUAUAGUGCAGAUUCAGGUUUGUUGAAAUCAUGCCCCCCUGGGGUAGGAUGGGGCCACAAUAGGGGAUCAAAGUUUUACAUACAAAUAUAUAGGGAAAAUCUUUAAAAAUCUUCUUCUCAAGAACCACUGAGUCAGAAAAGCUGAGAUUUAUAUGAAAGCUUUCUGAUAUAGUGCAGAUUCAGGUUUGUUGAAAUCAUGCCCCCCUGGGGUAGGAUGGGGCCACAAUAGGGGAUCAAAGUUUUACAUACAAAUAUAUAGGGAAAAUCUUUAAAAAUCUUCUUCUCAAGAACCAUUGGGCCAAAGAAGUUCAUAUUUACAUGAAAGCUUUCUGACAUAGUGUAGAGUCAAGUUUGCAAAAACCAUGGCCUCCAGGGGUAGGUUUGGGGCCAUAAUAGGUACUACGGUUUUACAUGCAAAUAGAUAUGGAAAAUCUUCUGAUAUGGACCAAGGUGACUCAGGUGAGCGAUGUGGCCCAUGGGCCUCUUGUUUUCACUUGUCAGUUUCAGGUUGAUCUAUGGCACCAAAUGUAACAGGAAAGGAGAAAAUGCAACAGACCAGACCGGGAUCCCCCUGAAUCUCUGGACAGUCAGGUGCCCUACCAAUAGAGCUAUCUGGCCACCGGCGAUCGAACUCGUCAGACCUUCACAUCUUCAUCCAUCAACCAACAAGGACAUUUAAAACGCUAUAAGGAUAGCAUAAAUUAGUGCUUAUGUAACGUAUAGCGGUCACCCAGCCAAGUGCCGAUCACGCUCAUCGUUGCUUAUAACUUGCGUGAUCAGGUUUUUGAAUAGCCCUCAUUAGCAGCAUUAAAACCAAAACAAUUGCGAUUGGGAGGUAGAAAACCACGAUUUGAAGGACAAAACGUGUUAAUGAAAUGCUUUGGUGUCGUCUGAAUUUUAGUCUUUUUUUUUUUUUGUAUUAGUAAAAUCAUAUACUAGAGCAAUUCUAUAUACUAGUAACUGUCUGUUGUUACUAUGUGCAGGAUUUUCCAUAUGUACACAAGUAGCAGUAAAGUGUACCCCAGCAAUACAUACCAUAUGAAUAUGGAAUUAUCUCCAUCAGGAACAUCUGUACCACAAGAUUUCAGAAAUAUCGUUGUCAGAGACCAUGGUUUUGACAAACCGGAAAGAGCACGUGGAGCACGGAAAAGGAAACGUGGAACUAUCAGUAAGCCGGAAGAGCCAGUAUCAAAACCUUUAAGUGUUCGGGAAUUUCACCGUGCACACGAAUCCAAAGUUCUGCCACACGUUAGAAGGCAUGGAAGGGGUCUCGUUCUUGAAGAUCAAUAGAUAAAGAAAGUGUUGCACAUCUAUUGUUAAUUUUCCUAAAGGUGUUGCGUGAUAUAUCGAUAAAAUAAAGAUAUUCAAAUAUAUGAUGAAAUCAA